GCUUGCUCAGAGGUGGCGCAUGCGCUUUUGCGAUAUGUGGAGAUUAGUCCGAACCGGUGCAGCACGAAUGUGUAGUGCGGCGGGGGUUGAUUGGAGUUGAGCAAACUUCACCCUAUCCGCUGCUGCACCAUGGCACAGUUUGGGGGGCAGAAAAACCCACCAUGGGCUGCCCAGUUUGCAGCCACUGCAGUCUCUCAGCCGGGACAGUCCCUUGACAUAAACAGCUUGCACUCCGCUCUAAGUGUCCAGCAACCAUCCCUUCUUGGAGCAUCUCCUGGAAUAUAUUCUCAACAAUCUGCCUUAGCGGCUGCUAGCCUCAACUCGCAGUCUGCUGCUAGUUACCAGUUAUCGCAACAAACUGCUGCUCUACAGCAGCAAGCUGCUGCCGCUGCGGCUGCUUUGCAACAACAGUAUCAGCAACAGCAGCAGCAGCAGCAACAACCUCCACCACCUCAGCAAACUCUGUACAGUGUCCAGCAGCAGUUACAGCAGCCACAGCAAGCAUUGCUAACUCAGCCACCUGUUGCUUUGCCUACCAGUCUCAGUCUGUCUAAUCCACAGCCAGCAGCACAAAUUACAGUCUCCUACCCAGCACCCAGAUCCAGUCAGCAAACACAGCCCCUGAAACAGCGUGUUUUUACUGGUGUGGUUACAAAGUUACAUGAUACCUUUGGGUUUGUGGAUGAAGAUGUCUUCUUUCAGCUUAGUGCUGUCAAAGGCAAAACACCCCAGGUUGGUGAUCGAGUGCUGGUUGAAGCUGCGUAUAAUCCAAACAUGCCAUUCAAAUGGAAUGCACAAAGAAUACAAACUUUGCAACAUAUGGCUCCACAGUCAACCCAACCUCAAGGCCAGCCUUUACUCAAGACUACACCAACAAUGUUGCAGUCUCUGCCUCCAACAGCUACCUUUAGUGUUCAGGCCCAGGCCCAGACACAGCCACCUGCAUUGCUACAAGCUCAGCUCUCUGCUGCUUCCCUUGCUCCAUUGCUGCAGAACCCUCCUCAGCCCUUGCUGCCACAGCCACCACAAAAAGCAGGCCUGCUUCAACCUCCUGUACGUAUGAUCCCCCAGCCACAGCCGGCACGAAGGAUAGAUCCUACACCUAGACUCCCUAGCAGGAAUGACCGAGGAGACCCCAUUGGAGCGAGAAAAGAAGACCGAAGCCGUGAGAGAGACAGAGAAAGGAGACGGUCUAGGGAGCGCUCACCGCAGAGAAAGCGUUCAAGAGAGAGAUCGCCGCGUAGAGACCGCUCACCAAGAAGGCCUCGCAGAGCAGCUCCACGUUAUACUGUGCAGUUCUCAAAAUUUUCUUUGGACUGUGUUAACUGUGAUAUGAUGGAACUCCGAAGACGCUAUCAAAAUCUUUACAUCCCUAGUGAUUUCUUUGAUGCAGAGUUUACAUGGGUGGAUGCUUUUCCAAUUUCUCGUCCCUUUCAUUUUGGAAACUACUGUAGUUUCCACAUUAUGCACAAAGAGGUGGAGCCCUUAGUGAAAAACACAGCUGUGCUUGAUCCUUCAGAUGCUAAUCACUUGUAUAGUGCAAAGGUGAUGUUAUUGGCAAAUCCCAGCCUAGAUGAUCUGUAUCACAAAUCAUGUGCCCUUGCUGACGACCCUCAGGAGGUUCGAGAAGCUUUCCAACAUCCUGCAAGGUUGAUCAAGUUUUUAGUUGGCAUGAAGGGAAAGGAUGAGGCUAUGGCUAUUGGUGGGCACUGGUCUCCAUCUCUGGAUGGCAUCAAUCCUGAAUCGGAUCCCUCUGUGCUGAUAAAGACAGCUGUCCGUUGUUGUAAGGCUCUCACAGGCAUUGAUCUAAGUUUAUGCACUCAGUGGUACCGUUUUGCAGAGAUUCGCUAUCAUCGCCCUGAGGAGACCCACAAGGGGCGUACAGUUCCAGCUCAUGUGGAGACAGUGGUUUUAUUUCUCCCGGAUGUUUGGCAUUGUCUUCCCACCCGCUCUGAGUGGGAAACCCUCUCCCGUGGAUACAAGCAGCAGCUGGUCGAGAAGCUCCAGGCUGAACGAAAGGAGGCUGAUGGAGAACAGGAAGAGGAAGAAAAGGAUGAAGGGGAGCUGAAAGAGAUUUCUACUCCAACUCACUGGUCAAAACUGGACCCCAAGUCAAUGAAGGUAAAUGAUCUUCGUAAGGAAUUGGAAAGCCGCAGCCUUAGUUCAAAAGGAUUAAAGUCUCAGUUAAUCGCUCGUUUGAUGAAACAGCUGAAAGUGGAGGAACAAACAGAUGAAUUGAAAGAACCAGAAAAAACAGACAAUACAGAAGAGGAGGAGGAAGAACAGAUGAAGGCAGAAGAAGACAAAGAGGAGGAAGAAAAACGACGCCUGGAAGAAGUGGAACGCCAGCGAAGAGAGCGUCGCUACAUUCUACCAGACGAGCCUACAAUUGUUGUGCAUCCAAACUGGGCUGCUAAGAAUGGCAAAUUUGAUUGCAGCAUCAUGUCGCUGAGUGUUCUGCUAGACUACAGACUCGAAGACAAUAAAGAGCAUUCUUUUGAAGUAUCUUUGUUUGCUGAACUGUUCAAUGAAAUGCUUCAGAGAGACUUUGGUUACCGCAUAUAUAAAGCAGUGGCAUCCCUCCCUCAGAAGGAUGAAAAGACAGAUAAAAAGGAAAAGGUUAGAAAAGACGAUAAAAAAGAUACAGAGAGGAAAGAAGUAGAUAAAAAAGAUUAUACCAAGAGUAAAGAAAGCCGUGAUGAAGACAACGUUGAGCCGAUUGCUAAAAGAAAUAAAUUAUUUGAAGAGAAAGAAGAAAGGAAGGAUGACAAAGAAAAAAGGAAGGAGGAGCUGAAAGAAGAAGAUGAAAUUGAUGAGGAAAGCAAUAACGCCACUGCUGAGGAGUAUGACCCUAUGGAAGCUGAAGAGGCAGAAGAAGAUGAUGAAGACGAAAAAGAAGAUGAAGAAACAAAUGGUAAAGACAGAAGAGAUUACAAAAGAGAUGAAAGAAAAAAUAAAGAAAGGUCUUCAAAAGAUAAGGAAAAAGAAAAGAAACAAAUGGUCACAUACAACAAAGAUCUUCUUAUGGCAUUUGUUUAUUUUGAUCAAAGCCACUGUGGAUAUCUCCUAGAAAAAGACUUGGAGGAAAUUAUUUACACAUUGGGACUACACCUUUCUCGUGCUCAGGUGAAGAAGCUGUUAAAUAAAACUGUUGUUCGGGAAUCUUGCUUUUACCGUAAGCUAACUGACUGUGCCAAAGAUGAAGCAAUUCCUUUUGUAAAUGAACCUCCUCAAGAGAGUCUUUUAGGAAACAAGGCUUUGUUACCAUGUCAUAAAUUGGCAGUCGAGAAGAAUGAAUCUCCUGACUCAGGCACUCUCAUAAUUUAUAAUGGCGCAAUGGUAGAUAUUGGGAGCUUGAUGCAGAAGCUGGAGAAAAGUGAAAAAGCCAGAGAGGAAAUUGAGCAGAAGCUUCAGUGUCAAGAAACCAAGCAAGGAGAAGAUAAUAAGUUGAUAUUACAACUGGAAACUGCGAACAAAAACCUAUCUUCCGAGCUGAAAGAAAUCAAAAAUUACCUUUCCCAGGCUGAAGAAAAUUUGAAAACAUCAGAGCAACAGAAAUCCUAUUAUGAAGAACACUUGCAUAAAACAGCUUCAAGUUUGAGUAAAGUUAUGGAAGAACUCCAAAAUGUUCUAAAAAAGUUUCAGGAUCAUGGAAAUCUAUCCCAUCACUGUAUGGCACAGGGGAGGAAGCCUGAUAUAUAGUUAAACAAGGAGUAGCCAAUAUGAGAGCAUGUUACCAUGCUUGGGAGAUUGUACACAUGUGUGGGUGUAUCUAAGUCUGAAGAAAACAGCCAAUCGUCAAGAGAGAAUGGUUCUGGUGAAUGACUACCCAGCCUCUUUUAACUUUGUCUAGUGGUCUAAAUAUUACUGUACAUAAGAGAGCUAAAGGAAUGAAUGUGAAUGAAAAGAUGCAUGUUUUUGCAUUUUAUUUUUUUGUUUUAUGUUCCCUACAAAACUCCCUCAUAUAGUUUUAUGAAGAAGUGUUCUUUAUGUAAACCACUUCAUAAUUUAUGAAGUACUUACUGCCCUUUCACAUGAAAGAGGGAGUGUGGUGAAUUGUAAUAUUUUAAAGCUAAUAAGACUUACAUUUUAUGGAAGGGAUGCACUAUACAAUAAUUUGUUUACUUGAAAUUAUUGUUACAGUCUUUGCUAUAAGGCAUUUAACAUUGAAUUUAAGUUAACAGAGGAAAUGGUUUGUCCUCCCGCACCUACAAUUAUGUAAGAAAAUGAAUAAAAAAAAUAAUUUUUUUUUGGU